CGCCUCUACCAUUUUGGGUGGUGUUCAAGUUCUGACUAGAUUAUGGAUACGAAUGACGCAAAUGUGUACAUCACGCAUCACAUUAUACAACAAGACCCCGCAACAAGUCAAGUUGUGUUUAUGACGGUCAACUCAGACGUUGAGACUUUGUGCCAACCAAAUUUCCUUUCCAACGACAAUCCCGCUACCGGCGGUGCUUACGAGCCAGCGUUUGUACAGGAAGUCAAAAUUAUCGCCUUCGAUGACGGUCGCAUGUUCUUGACGAACGGAGACACAGUUUUUAACGCUGUGGAACCGCAACUGAUCGCGCAGGAAGUUAUUUGCGAUAAUAUUUCCGCGCUAGAAUCUAUAAACAUUUCCGAAGAUGUUGACAGUAAGACCGGUUUAUUAUGCAGCAACGUCGACCAAAGUGCUAGUGCAGUGAACACGAUACAAGAGCCUUGCGAGAAUAUCAAGUACAAUUCCCAAAAGUCAAGGUUCAUAGCUGAACAGAAGAAAAGUUACAAAUGUCUUUUCGAUGGGUGUGGCAAAUCCUAUUCUUCUUCUCACCAUUUAAACGUGCACAUGCGAAAUCAUAUGGAAAGCAAACCAUAUUCAUGUACGGUCGAAGGUUGUGAAAAGACAUUUGCUACAAAUUAUUCUCUGAAAGCACAUUCGAGGAUACAUACUGGGGAGAAACCAUAUCCCUGUCCAGAUUGUGAUAAGUGUUUCAAAACGUCAGGGGAUUUACAAAAACACUACAGAACCCAUACUGGUGAAAAACCAUUCCUGUGUCCCGUUAUGGGAUGCGGCAAAUCGUUUACUACUUCGAAUAUACGUAAAGUCCACGUGCGAUCUCAUACAGGAGAGAGACCGUAUGUGUGUGAUUACCCUAAUUGCGGCAAAGCUUUCGCCUCUUCAACAAACUUCAAAAAUCACUCUCGUAUACAUUCGGGAGAAAAACCAUAUGCCUGUCCCGUAGAUGGUUGCGAGCGAAGGUUCACGGAGUAUUCGUCUCUGUACAAACACUCGGUAGCGCAUCAAAUAAACAGACCCUAUCGGUGCAAUUAUUGCACCCAAAAAUUUAAAUCAGAAUCGGCACUAAAUCUCCACAAACGCGUCAAGCACAACGUCGUUAUUUCUGCGGACGGUUCGGAAAUCGUCGUCGAAAUUUGCUAGACGUAAAGUGGAGGAAGAAAUUUGUUAUUUAGUCUAAGGUUAAAAAAUAUAUUAAUUUCGUACGGGUAGAUCGACGUAUGAUUAUUCUUGAGGAAAGAUUGGAGCCCUCUGUUAAGUCAUUGGACAGUACGUUGUGUUGCAGUUCUUGACAUGGUCUACGACAUUAAUGUUUUCGUAUAGUCCGUGACAUAAAUUUACCUUCCCUGUUUUUUUUUGUCUUUGACAUAACAAACGUCAGUUAACCAAAAUGGUGUAAAUUAUUAGUAAUUUUUUCAUUUUUUCAUCCCCUCAUUCAAAAUUCCCAGUAACCGGCGAAUCCGUCGACCGGAUAUGAAUCGCAGCACGAGCAUCGAUAGUCAAUUGCUAAGGAAAUUACGAUACAAGCCACGAUUCUUCAACGCCGCUAGGUAGAAUUUGCCCAGUGUUUUCAAGUUUCGGGGUUAUUUUUUAAUAUCGUUAUUACGCAGCGCACUUUUUCGCACUCAUUACGACACGUUAAAAGUAAAAAGGAACAGUUCCUCGAAAGAAAUCAGGGCCGCUUUCAUAGAGUUAUCAAAAAAGGGUUAUAGAAUCAUCCGGAUGUGAAUAAAAGUUCGGCGGCGCACACGGAAUUUUUGAAAAUUCAAGAGGCCUACAGCGUUCUCGGUAAACCAGAAUCGCGGCGGAUGUACGACUUGGGAUUGUCCAAUCCUUCCGC